AACGGACGCUGGCGGCAUGCCUAACACAUGCAAGUCGAACGAGACCUUCGGGUCUAGUGGCGCACGGGUGCGUAACGCGUGGGAACCUGCCCUUAGGUUCGGAAUAACUCCCCGAAAGGGGUGCUAAUACCGGAUAAUGUCUUCGGACCAAAGAUUUAUCGCCUUUGGAUGGGCCCGCGUUGGAUUAGCUAGUUGGUAGGGUAAAAGCCUACCAAGGCGACGAUCCAUAGCUGGUCUGAGAGGAUGAUCAGCCACACUGGGACUGAGACACGGCCCAGAAUCCUACGGGAGGCAGCAGUGGGGAAUAUUGGACAAUGGGCGAAAGCCUGAUCCAGCACUGCCGCGUGAGUGAUGAAGGCCUUAGGGUUGUAAAGCUCUUUUACCCGGGAUGAUAAUGACAGUACCGGGAGAAUAAGCUCCGGCUAACUCCGUG
rnacentral:rRNA from 1 species